UGGUACUCGAGUGGCGAACGGGUGAGUAACACGUGGGUGAUCUGCCCUGCACUUCGGGAUAAGCCUGGGAAACUGGGUCUAAUACCGGAUAGGAGCCAUUUUUAGUGUGAUGGUUGGAAAGUUUUUUCGGUGUAGGAUGAGCUCGCGGCCUAUCAGCUUGUUGGUGGGGUAAUGGCCUACCAAGGCGGCGACGGGUAGCCGGCCUGAGAGGGUGGACGGCCACAUUGGGACUGAGAUACGGCCCAGACUCCUACGGGAGGCAGCAGUGGGGAAUAUUGCACAAUGGGCGCAAGCCUGAUGCAGCGACGCCGCGUGGGGGAUGACGGCCUUCGGGUUGUAAACUCCUUUCGCUAGGGACGAAGCUUUUGUGACGGUACCUAGAUAAGAAGCACCGGCUAACUACGUGCCAGCAGCCGCGGUAAUACGUAGGGUGCGAGCGUUGUCCGGAAUUACUGGGCGUAAAGGGCUCGUAGGUGGUUUGUCGCGUCGUCUGUGAAAUUCCGGGGCUUAACUCCGGGCGUGCAGGCGAUACGGGCAUAACUUGAGUACUGUAGGGGUAACUGGAAUUCCUGGUGUAGCGGUGAAAUGCGCAGAUAUCAGGAGGAACACCGAUGGCGAAGGCAGGUUACUGGGCAGUUACUGACGCUGAGGAGCGAAAGCAUGGGUAGCGAACAGGAUUAGAUACCCUGGUAGUCCAUGCCGUAAACGGUGGGCGCUAGGUGUGAGGGUCUUUUCACGACUUUCGUG
rnacentral:rRNA from 1 species